UACGUAGGGUGCAAGCGUUAAUCGGAAUACUGGGCGUAAAGCGUGCGCAGGCGGUUGUGCAAGACCGAUGUGAAAUCCCCGGGCUUAACCUGGGAAUGGCAUUGGUGACUGCACGGCUAGAGUGUGGCAGAGGGGGGUGGAAUUCCACGUGUAGCAGUGAAAUGCGUAGAGAUGUGGAGGAACACCGAUGGCGAAGGCAGCCCCCUGG
rnacentral:rRNA from 1 species